GCAAUUAGUUUUAAGAACUACAAUUAUUAGACAACUCAACUUAAUAUUUUUGGAGACUUUACUAAACAACUUAAAAGAACGAGUAAGUGGGUAGGACGUGACGUCAUUUCCUAACGGUUCUGGCUCAGAGAGCCGACACCAGGGAUGUGGCAUGGCGGGCUCAGCUACUCCACGGUCUUACUGGACUCCACCGACAAUACCUCAAAUGGAAAACAGCAGAAAAAGAAAAUAUGAGAGAAACUGGAGCGACAGGAAGGCGUGUGUGAGAAAGAGGGGAGGACACCAGCGAAGGACAGCAGGCCAUAUUUGAACUUAGGUCACAGCGUAAAGGACUGAGCCUCACAGGACACGAUCCACUAGCUAUCGAGGCUCCCUAGCUUUUAUUCCUCUUUAAGGUCAACGCAGAGUUUCAACAAAUCACCACCAUAAAUCUUGAGGCAAAAUUCAUGUCAAUUUUGGACCUUCAUUCCCCUAAACUCCUUUCCAGAGAGAAACAUCGUGCAGAAAUGAAUAUUUCCUACAG